AUUGAACGCUGGCGGCAUGCCUUACACAUGCAAGUCGAACGGUAACGGGUCCUUCGGGAUGCCGACGAGUGGCGAACGGGUGAGUAAUAUAUCGGAACGUGCCCAGUAGUGGGGGAUAACUGCUCGAAAGAGCAGCUAAUACCGCAUACGACCUGAGGGUGAAAGGGGGGGAUCGCAAGACCUCUCGCUAUUGGAGCGGCCGAUAUCAGAUUAGCUAGUUGGUGGGGUAAAGGCCUACCAAGGCAACGAUCUGUAGCUGGUCUGAGAGGACGACCAGCCACACUGGGACUGAGAAACGGCCCAGACUCCUACGGGAGGCAGCAGUGGGGAAUUUUGGACAAUGGGCGCAAGCCUGAUCCAGCAAUGCCGCGUGCAGGAAGAAGGCCUUCGGGUUGUAAACUGCUUUUGUCGGGGAAGAAAUCUUCUGGGCUAAUACCCCGGGAGGAUGACGGUACCUGAAGAAUAAGCACCGACUAACUACGUGCCAGCCGCCGCCGUAAUAC
rnacentral:rRNA from 1 species